AAUCCAAUCUGGUUCUUUAAUAACGCCUUUUAUAGGAGUCACCAUUGAGUUCUGCCCACGAGAUAACGUUUUGGAUAUGGCUCUUCGCAGGACUCGAAUCAGUGACCUCUUCGUCGAUCUGGGUCUGAAAGGGAAACCCGCAUGAGAGAAGCUCCUCUGAAACUGAUCAGAACUGCCCCUUUCAAGAGGACCCGAGAACAACCCACGA
rnacentral:misc_RNA from 1 species